UGACGGGUGACGGAGAAUUAGGGUUCGAUUCCGGAGAGGGAGCCUGAGAAACGGCUACCACAUCCAAGGAAGGCAGCAGGCGCGCAAAUUACCCAAUCCUGACACAGGAAGGUAGUGACAAGAAAUAACAAUACCGGGCCUUUUCAGGUCUGGUAAUUGGAAUGAGUACAAUUUAAAUCCCUUAACGAGGAUCUACUGGAGGGCAAGUCUGGUGCCAGCAGCCGCGGUAAUUCCAGCUCCAGAAGCGUAUAUUUAAAUUGUUGCUGUUAAAAAGCUCGUAGUUGGAUUUCUGGUGUGGUGCGGCUGGUCCGUCGCCGAUAGGCGGUCGAGUACUGGCGUUGCGCCUACCAUCCCUUCUGGAGAGGCCGACUGCACUUCAUUGUGUGGUUGGAACCACCGAUCCAGAUCGUUUACUUUGAAAAAAUUAGAGUGUUUAAAGCAGGCGUCAGCCACUGAAUACAUUAGCAUGGAAUAAUGAGAUAGGACUUUGGCCCUAUUUUGUUGGUUUCUAGGACUGAAGUAAUGAUUGAUAGGGACAGUUGGGGGUGCUAGUAUUUAACGGCCAGAGGUGAAAUUCUUGGAUUCGUUAAAGACUAACUAAUGCGAAAGCAUUCACCAAGGAUGUCUUCUUUAAUCAAGAACGAAAGUUGGGGGAUCGAAGACGAUCAGAUACCGUCGUAGUCUCAACCAUAAACUAUACCGACUAGGGAUCAGCGGACGUUGUUUUUUCGACUCCGUUGGCACCUUAUGAGAAAUCAAAGUCUUUGGGUUCAGGGGGGAGUAUGGUCGCAAGGCUGAAACUUAAAGGAAUUGACGGAAGGGCACACCAGAAGUGGAGCCUGCGGCUUAA
rnacentral:rRNA from 1 species